AACAAAGUUCUGGGCAAAUUCCAUUAACGUAUCUCUGAAUAUAUCAGUGUAGUGGCACAAUUAGGGAAACAUUUUGAUCUGAAUGACCACACUUGAUUUUCCAACAAUCUUACAAGAUAGUCAAGGCAAGUAUUUGUGCCAUUUCAUACAUGAAGAAGCUGAGAAUCUCAGCCAUUAGGUCAUCACCAGGCAACAUGGAACAGGACCGCUAGAGGUCUCACAGCAACUCUAGCACUGUCCCUCUGCCCCUGCCAUCUGUCCGUAGUUGUGAAUGAGCAUUUAGAGUCAUUUCCUACGUACAAUAUCACUUUGCCCUGAAGCACAGUAGUAUCAGCUAGACAACAUCACACUUAAGAUCCUUCUAAUCUUAUGAUUUAAUGUGACGGUUUUCCAUUAUGGAUUCCAUGGCCACCGAACCAAAGGGUACAAGAGCUGACUUCGUCCAGACCCCGACCUUCCGUGAGAGGAUAGAUAUUUUGGUUCUCAUCUUACACAGGAGCUGACUGUAGUCCGCAGAGGCUAAUCCAUUCAGAGGAGGAGGAGAGAUUAAAGAUUUAAUGGAAGAAGAGAAGCCAUGGGUGACGGGAUAAAUCGUUCCUGGUAAUCAGACAGCUAAAAAGUGUUGCAAGGGGAUCCGGUUUCAGGUCCUCUGCUUCCAAACCUCGAGCUCAUUUUACUACAUGUUAAUAGAUUUCUCUGCUCUUUAGAUCUUCAGUUUUUUUUUUUAAUUUUUAUUUAUUUAAGAGAGAGAGAGAGAGAGAGAGAGGCAGAGACACAGCAGAGGGAGAAGCAGGCUNAAUUUUUAUUUAUUUAAGAUAGAUAGAUAGAGAGAGAGAGAGAGAGAGAGGCAGAGACGUAGGCAGAGGGAGA
rnacentral:lncRNA from 1 species